rnacentral:rRNA from 1 species
AGGGGGCGAGCGUUGUCCGGAAUCAUUGGGCGUAAAGCGCGUGUAGGCGGCCCGGUAAGUCCGCUGUGAAAGUCCAGGGCUCAACCCUGGGAUGCCGGUGGAUACUGUCGGGCUCGAGUCCGGAAGAGGCGAGUGGAAUUCCUGGUGUAGCGGUGAAAUGCGCAGAUAUCAGGAGGAACACCAAUGGCGAAGGCAGCUCGCUGGGACGUGACUGACGCUGAGACGCGAAAGCGUGGGGAGCAAACAGG